rnacentral:rRNA from 1 species
UACAGAGGUCCCAAGCGUUGUUCGGAUUCACUGGGCGUAAAGGGUGCGCAGGUGGGUUUGCAAGUUUGAUGUGAAAGCCCCGGGCUUAACCCGGGAAUGGCAUUGAAUACUGCAGAUCUGGAGGAUUGGAGGGGGGACUGGAAUUCUCGGUGUAGCGGUGAAAUGCGUAGAUAUCGAGAGGAACACCUGCGGCGAAGGCGGGUUGCUGGGCUGACACUGACGCUGAUGCGCGAAAGCCAGGGGAGCGAACGGG